GAUGAACGCUAGCUACAGGCUUAACACAUGCAAGUCGAGGGGAAACGACAUCGAAAGCUUGCUUUUGAUGGGCGUCGACCGGCGCACGGGUGGGUAACGCGUAUCCAACCUGCCCAUCACUUGGGAAUAACCUUGCGAAAGUAAGACUAAUACCCAAUGACAUCCCACGAAGACAUCUGAAUGGGAUUAAAGAUUUAUCGGUGAUGGAUGGGGAUGCGUCUGAUUAGCUUGUUGGCGGGGUAACGGCCCACCAAGGCAACGAUCAGUAGGGGUUCUGAGAGGAAGGGCCCCCACAUUGGAACUGAGACACGGUCCAAACUCAUACGGGAGGCAGCAGUGAGGAAUAGUGGUCAAUGGGCGAGAGCCUGAACCAGCCAAGUAGCGUGCAGGAUGACGGCCCUAUGGGUUGUAAACUGCUUUUAUAAGGGAAUAAAGUGGGUCUCGUGAGACUUUUUGCAUGUACCUUAUGAAUAAGGACCGGCUAAUUCAGUG
rnacentral:rRNA from 1 species